UACGAAGGGGGCUAGCGUUGCUCGGAAUUACUGGGCGUAAAGGGCGCGUAGGCGGAUGUUUAAGUCAGCGGUGAAAGCCCAGGGCUCAACCUUGGAACUGCCAUUGAUACUGGACAUCUUGAGUACGGGAGAGGUGAGUGGAACACCGAGUGUAGAGGUGAAAUUCGUAGAUAUUCGGAAGAACACCAGUGGCGAAGGCGGCUCACUGGUCCGGUACUGACGCUGAGGUGCGAAAGCGUGGGGAGCAAACAGG
rnacentral:rRNA from 1 species